CACAUCCUGUGCUCAGUCUCCAGUAUGAGCAUGCUUUAAUUUUCCUUACUUUUGUCUUAACAUCAGCUGAAUGGAGUGUUCAUUUUGGUCAUUCAGUUUUGUUUUAUUAUUAUUAUUUUUAUUUAACUAAUAUUAAUUUAUUAAUAGCCUUCUCUAACCUUUUAUAAGAAUCUUUUCUACAUUCAACAUGGCACAAAGACAGAAGAGAGAUGGAACAUUUUCAUAUGCAGCAAAACAAUCCACAGACUCCAUUACAAGGUUUAGAUUCAUUGUGUUUGGAAGUGAUGAGGUUCUGAUAAAUGAAGCUUGUGACACUAUUCUUAGAUCAGCAGAUAGAAUGGAUAGCACUAAAUAUGGGACAUGUGAGUUUAGAGAGGCGUGUGUAAGCGGACGACAUGUCUCUGUAGUAAAAACUCCUGCUUAUGGGCUGGAACACUUGAAAACUUACCUGACCUUCAGAAACAGAGUCAGAUCUAUGAAAAUAGACAUGGAGUUUUGUUACUCACUGGUCUUUCCUGGGCCUCAUGCUUUUUUUUUAGUGCUUGGCGAUGUACAUAACUCUGGUAAAGAGCAUUACAUUUUACGAGCUCUCAGUGAAGUGUUUGGCCAGGAGGCAUUAGACUACAGUAUGGUCUUAUUUAUGCAUGAAUACAAGGACAGUGAUAUAGGCAGCAACCGAUGUGUGAAAAAGUGCAGGAAAAGGUUCCACAUUUUAAAGAACAAUGAGGAAAAUGUUCUAAAGCUAUUCCAUGACGCUACUGAGACAAUGAUAAAGCAGAGAAAGGGGAGCUUUUUUACGAAGGAUUUUGACUUGCUAGACAAAGCUGAAGCUUAUUUUAAGACAGAAUUUGAUGCUUAAUAUGAGGAGCGAGAGAGUAUACUGAGAGGAAAUUUGGCAGAAAUGAAAACAACAGAGGAAAAUCUAAGAACAAAAGUUACAGAAAUGGAAAGAAAGAAUUCUGAAAACAUGAGAGAAUUACAAGAUCUGCAUAAAGAACUGGAUGCUCAUAAAGCCAGAAUGAAUCAGUUAAACAAGGAAUUAGAUGAUUCCCAAAGCAGAGAGAAUCAUUUAAGUCAACAGAUGGAUGCUCUCAAAAAGAAAAAAUAUGAACUGAAGGAGGAGCUGUAUGCCCUCAGGUAUUACAAGAGACAGUUAGAUGUAGAACUGAUGGCUUUCAAUGAGAGAGAGAGAGAAAAAUUCCUGCCCACAAAAAUACAGUUAGAGCAUAACAGAUUACAGGAGCAAAGAGAAGCAGGCCUACAGGCUCCUGCGCAAGAAGAGCAUGACAGACAAAAAACUUUAGAUAAAAGAGAGGUGGAGCUAGAUGAGAGAGAGAAAAAACUGCUGCAGACCACUGGAUCACAGCAUGUUGAUCACAUCUCUACAGCUGUUACUCCCUCUUGUGUCAUAGUGUCUGAAGACAAACCCAAAUCUCAAGAAGACACUGGAUCACCUGAGUCUGAAGGAUUGAAACUUGUGAGACAAGACAGCAAGAAAUUAGCUCCACCUAAUAUGUCUGAAAACAAAGUCAAACCUCAGAGUGAAAGAAAAUGUGAGAUGGAAAGUAGAAUAACAGAUUCACAAACCAGCAGAUCGCUUAAAGGUGAAGUACUGAAACCUGUGAGACGGAACAGCAUUCGAGAUCGACCCAGCAUGUCUGAAGACACACUCAAACCUCAAGAAAACACUGGAUACCUUGAGUUUGAAGGACUGGAAAUUAAUUGUGUGACAAAACAGCAAGGAAAUACUGUAGAUUCACUUAAUGUUUUCUGGAGUGAAGAGUGCCAGUAUCCCUCAGAACUGAGUUCUGAGUUCUAGCAUGUAAUGGGAAAUGCUUCAUGUACUCCCACAUGAUAGCAGUGCAUGUGUUUCAUGAACUGUAAGACAUAUAUUUGUACAUCGCAUAUUUGUACUUUAGUAACUAUAUUAGUAAGCAAAAGCUAAUGUCUGUAACUGGUUUUGAUAUGGUUUUUGAUGUUUUCUCAGAAUAUUUUAUGUGUAUAAGUUCUGUUAAAUCUGGCAUUAACAGGUAUGUUGAUCACAGUUACAAUGAGCAUCUUUUUUUCAUGAAAAAUGUGGUUUAGAGGAGAUUGAACACAAAAUGAAAUUUUAAAUCCUUGGUGAUUAAUCAUAUCAUCUGAUCACAUGCCUGUGUAACUGUUUUCAUUAUUGUGAAAUAGGAAACCUUGUCUAAAGUACUCCCUUGAAGGUUUUAAACUUUGAACUAAACUGAGCAUUAAUGUGAUCUUUUUUAUAAAGCCUGUAAAGUUUUGUAGGAUUGUACAUUAACAUGCUAUAUGUAAAUAAAUAAUGGCAUAGGCUUAUUAUUUAACA
ensembl:lncRNA